AAUCAGUGUCCCAGAAGAUGUUUAUGACAAGGGUUGUGUGAAAGACGUAGAUGAGGGCUUGGAGGCAGCAGAAAGAAUUGGUUUUCCAUUGAUGAUCAAAGCUUCUGAAGGUGGCGGAGGGAAGGGAAUCCGGAAGGCUGAGAGUGCGGAGGACUUCCCGAUCCUUUUCAGACAAGUACAGAGUGAGAUCCCAGGCUCGCCCAUCUUUCUCAUGAAGCUGGCCCAGCACGCCCGUCACCUGGAAGUUCAGAUCCUCGCUGACCAGUAUGGGAAUGCUGUGUCUCUGUUUGGUCGCGACUGCUCCAUCCAGCGGCGGCAUCAGAAGAUCGUUGAGGAAGCACCGGCCACCAUCGCCCCGCUGGCCAUAUUCGAGUUCAUGGAGCAGGUACACUUCUCAGAGCCCAGGGGGCAGCUUCAGAGAGAGCCGUGUCAGCUCAGAGUCAGGAAGAACUUUCUACGUGUGCCGUCCGCCUGGCCAAGACCGUGGGCUAUGUGAGUGCAGGGACAGUGGAAUACCUCUAUAGCCAGGACGGCAGCUUCCACUUCUUGGAGCUGAAUCCUCGCUUGCAGGUGGAACAUCCCU
rnacentral:sRNA from 1 species